rnacentral:rRNA from 1 species
CCCGCUGAACUUAAGCAUAUCAAUAAGCGGAGGAAAAGAAACCAACAGGGAUUGCCUUAGUAACGGCGAGUGAAGCGGCAAAAGCUCAAAUUUGAAAUCUGGCUUCCUUUUUGGGGCCCGAGUUGUAAUUUGGAGAGGAUGCUUUGGGUGCGGCUGCGGUCUAAGUCCCCUGGAACGGGGCAUCAUAGAGGGUGAGAAUCCCGUCUGGGACCGCUGAGUCAUGCCUAUGUAAAGCUCCUUCGACGAGUCGAGUUGUUUGGGAAUGCAGCUCUAAAUGGGUGGUAAAUUUCAUCUAAAGCUAAAUAUUGGCCGGAGACCGAUAGCGCACAAGUAGAGUGAUCGAAAGAUGAAAAGCACUUUGAAAAGAGAGUUAAACAGCAUGUGAAAUUGUUGAAAGGGAAGCGCUUGCGACCAGACUCGCCCGCGGAGGCUCAGCCGGCAUGCUUUGGCGGUGCACUCCUUCGCGGUCGAGCCAGCGUCGGUUCUGACGGUUGGUUAAAGGCUCUCGGAAUGUGUCGUCUCUCGGGGCGUCUUAUAGCCGAGGGUGCAAUGCGGCCAGUCGGGACCGAGGAACGCGCUUCGGCACGGACGCUGGCGUAAUGGUCGUAAGCGACCCGUCUUGAAACACGG